rnacentral:rRNA from 1 species
UACGUAGGGGGCAAGCGUUGUCCGGAUUUAUUGGGCGUAAAGAGCGUGUAGGCGGCCAGACAGGUCAGCUGUGAAAAACUCGAGGCUCAACCUCGAGACGUCGGUUGAAACCGUCUGGCUAGAGUCCGGAAGAGGAGAGUGGAAUUCCCCGGUGUAGCGGUGAAAUGCGCAGAUAUCGGGAAGAACACCCGUGGCGAAGGCGGCUCUCUGGGACGGUACUGACGCUGAGACGCGAAAGCGUGGGGAGCGAACAGG